rnacentral:rRNA from 1 species
AGAGGGAAACAGCCCAGAACACCGACUAAGGUCCCAAAUGUUACACUAAGUGGCGAAGGAUGUGGAAUUUCCAAAACAACCAGGAUGUUGGCUUAGAAGCAGCCACCAUUUAAAGAGUGCGUAAUAGCUCACUGGUCGAGAGACCCUGCGCCGAAGAUUACCGGGGCUAAAGUACGGAACCGAAGCUGUGGCUGUGUACGAAAGUACACGGGGUAGGGGAGCGUUCCCACAGGGUUGAAGUUGUGCUGAAAGGCAUGGUGGACUUGUGGGAAGUGAGAAUGUUGGUAUGAGUAGCGAAAAGAAAGGUGAGAAUCCUUUCCACCGAAAGCAUAAGGAUUCCUGGGCAACGAUCGUCGUCCCAGGGUAAGUCGGGACCUAAUCCGAGGCAUGGAGCGUAGGAGAUGGACAACUGGCAGAUAUUCCAGUACCGGUAAUGAUUGUUUGAGCGACGGAGUGACACAGGAGGGCAGGCAGGCAGGAGAUUGGUUGUUCCUGUAUAAGCGUGUAGGAUGAAACAUAGGCAAAUCCGUGUUUCGGAAGUCUGAGGCGUGAUGUGGAGUGUCCAGAGAUGGACGCGAAGCUGCUGACCCCACACUGUCGAGAAAAGCUUCUAGUUAGAGAAUUACCGCCCGUACCGUAAACCGACACAGGUAUGCGGGGAGAGAAUCCUAAGGUGCGCGGGAGAACCCUCGUUAAGGAACUCGGCAAAAUGUACCCGUAACUUCGGGAUAAGGGUAGCCGCUGUUGUGAAGUCUGAACAGACGGAGCAUGAGGCGGUCGCAGAGAAGAGGCCCAAGCGACUGUUUACCACAAACACAGGUGCCUGCUAAAGAGAAAUCUGACGUAUAGGUGCUGACACCUGCCCAGUGCCGGAAGGUUAAGGAAGGAUGUCCGGAGCAAUCCAAAGCAUUCGACCGAAGCCCCGGUGAACGGCGGCCGUAACUAUAACGGUCCUAAGGUAGCGAAAUUCCUUGUCGGGUAAGUUCCGACCCGCACGAAAGGUGUAACGAUUUGGGCACUGUCUCAACGAGGGACCCGGUGAAAUUGAAGUACCUGUGAAGAUGCAGGUUACCCGCGACUGGACAGAAAGACCCCAUGGAGCUUUACUGUAACCUGACAUUGUGUUUUGAUACAUCACGUACAGGAUAGGUGGGAGGCUUGGAAGGCAGGACGCCAGUUUUGCCGGAGCCGUUGUUGGGAUACCACCCUUGAUGUAUCGAAAUUCUAACCGUAGGAGUAACGAAACUCGGGACAGUGUCAGGCGGGCAGUUUGACUGGGGCGGUCGCCUCCCAAAGAGUAACGGAGGCGCCCAAAGGUUCCCUCAGCGCGGCCGGAAAUCGCGCGAAGAGUGUAAAGGCAGAAGGGAGCUUGACUGAGAGCCAAACACGGCGAUCAGGUACGAAAGUAGGGCUUAGUGAUCCGGUGGCAUCCGAGUGGAAGGGCCAUCGCUCAACGGAUAAAAGCUACCCUGGGGAUAACAGGCUAAUCUCUCCCAAGAGUCCAUAUCGACGGGGAGGUUUGGCACCUCGAUGUCGGCUCAUCACAUCCUGGGGCUGAAGUCGGUCCCAAGGGUUGGGCUGUUCGCCCAUUAAAGUGGUACGUGAGCUGGGUUCAGAACGUCGUGAGACAGUUCGGUCCCUAUCCAUCGCGGGCGCAAGAGAUUUGAAGGGGGCUGCUCCUAGUACGAGAGGACCGGAGUGGACGAACCAAUGGUGUACCAAUUAUCCCGCCAGGGGUACAGUUGGGUAGCUACGUUCGGAAAGGAUAAACGCUGAAAGCAUCUAAGCGUGAAACCAGCCUUAAGAUGAGAUCUCUCAUAGAGUAAUCUAGUAAGACACCUUAAAGAAGAUGAGGUUGAUAGGUCGGGAGUGUAAGUACAGUAAUGUAUUCAGCGGACCGAUACUAAUAUGUCGAGGGCUUGACUUA